GCCAGGCAUGGUGGCGCAUGCCUGUAAUCUCAGCUACUCGGGAGGCUGAGGCAGAAGAAUCGCUUGAACCCAGGAGGUGGAGGUUGCAGUGGGCCAAGAUCAUGCCACUGCACUGCAGCCUGGGUGACAGAGUGAGAUUCCGUCUCAA
rnacentral:sRNA from 1 species